UACGUAGGGCGCAAGCGUUAUCCGGAAUUAUUGGGCGUAAAGAGCUCGUAGGCGGUUUGUCGCGUCUGCCGUGAAAGUCCGGGGCUCAACUCCGGAUCUGCGGUGGGUACGGGCAGACUAGAGUGAUGUAGGGGAGACUGGAAUUCCUGGUGUAGCGGUGAAAUGCGCAGAUAUCAGGAGGAACACCGAUGGCGAAGGCAGGUCUCUGGGCAUGAUCUGACGCUGAGGAGCGAAAGUGUGGGGAGCGAACAGG
rnacentral:rRNA from 1 species